AGUUUGUUCCUGGAAAGGAGAGAGAGCAUAUAUACUGUCCAGGGCUUUGGGAGCUGUCAAGCCUGUUUGGAAAGAAAGAUGAAGCCUUUGUUGCGAGACGUCUGGAGAACCUUUAGCGGCGUUUGCCUUGGGAUAUGCAUCAGACUGUCCGUAGGGACAGACGGACUCUCUGGAGACUUGCUUCCCAGGAAGAAUGAGUAAAAGAAAAGCUCAUGAGGGGAAACUGGAGAAAGGAAAAUAAAAAGGAAGUAGAGUCAAUGAGAAGAGCAAAGGAAGAAAUGACAAGGAAGACUUUGGCAUGGUGAGUUUGGACUGUGAGCUGUUUUGUCCUGCCAUAGCAACAAGGAUUCUAAUUUGUGCUUCACUGCUGCAUGUAUUGGACAACCAGUGGAUUAGACCUCACAGGAUUCAUUUUAUUUUUGCCAUUGGAUAGCAUUUCACUAGCUCUUUCAUCUGUCAUUUUUUCCUCUCUAUUUUGCAGUAUCCUCAAUUUAAAACAACAAAAAUUUUAUA